ensembl:lncRNA
GUCUGCCAUGGCGGGUGGGUGAAAGACCCGAGCUAACAUGGGGUUAGUUCGUUAAAUUACAAUAAAGCCUCGUGCAGUUUGCAGCAAGCUCUCGAAUCCGCCUGGUGAUUGGGGUGACCGCGAACCUGGCCUGAGACCCCGGAUACUUGAGUUUUCGGGGGUCUAACAUUUUGGGGGCUCGUCCGGGAUUUGCGACCACCCUUCACCUGAGUGGAUUCGAUCUUGGAGCACAUGGCACGGGAAAGGAGUUCUGCCAUGUGUCACGGGUUAGAAUGUGUUAUGUUGGAGUCCCCCGAUGCUGCUUUUCUGAACUCGAACCACUGCUGCAGCCCUUACAGCUGAGCCUGGCCCAUGUAGUUUAUAAUGUCAGACAGACUGCCAGAUCCGGACAGUGACCCAAAGUCUCCAAAGAAGAUUACGAGGCACCUCAGUUCCUGCACCUGGACCAGUGAGCGAGAUGCUCAGAUGUGAAACCUGCCGCCUGCCAGAACCUGGCCGAGAAUGUGGACAAAGCUGCUGGACACUGGAAAAUUGAUUGUACCCCUUUGCCUAGACAAAACAAGGUCAGUCUUUUCCAUGUCCCUCUUCCACAGAGAGGAAAAAAACUCUCACAGUAUAGGCCUGGCGAAGAUUGCUGUUCUUUGAGACAGCUGCCUCCAACGGUAAUGGAGAAACUUGGGUGUGGCUAACUGUAUAUAGACUGGCUUCUGUCACUUUUCAGUAGAUUCGGAUAAAAUAUACCCUUCUCAGAUCUCUGAAAUAUUACUGGUUGUCAGCUUGACAGCAUCAGUCAGUCAGAUCCACUAUAGACUAGUCAGUAUGUUAGCUGAUAAAAUAGUAACUAUCUACUGUUCAGGCACGAGCUCAAGGUUUUUAAGUUUAUUUUGGUUGUCAUCUAAGUACAAACUUAAAGGGCUUUUCAUCAGGCCAAAGGCACCUCUGUCCAAUCCAUACCUGGCUCUCUGGACAGAAGAAAAAUGUACAUGCUUAUAGCCCAAAUCUGCAGUUUUUGCUAGGACUCAAAGUUAUAAAUAUGUUCCUGCUGUUUAAACAGAUAUUGCUUUUUCUGCACUGUGGGCUUCAGUAAAUAAGUUUUAACCUCUGUUCCUAGUUUAAACAUGUCUUAAACAGGUUUCUGCUUCUGGCAGACAUCUGAGUAUCAGUUGCUGACUACCGGCUGUUCUAAGUAGACUGCGAGCCCUAGACUUGCUGUGGAUGUAAACCAGUCCAGCUGAUGUGGACACCCCCUAUCUCUGCAACAGUGUCUUCUAACCAGAAGCCCCUGAUGAAUUCCCCAUUGCCUAAAUUCCUUUUUGCUUUUGACUAGCAUUUCAACCUUCUGGGGUCCCUAACUUCGUCCCAAAGUCAGCAGGAAGCAGUUUGGAAAAGAAUUUCGCCGUCCAUUUUCCCUGGUUAAAAUGCUAAGUCAAAAGGAACUCCCUUGCAUGGGGAUGCCAGUAUCUAUCACUCCCUGAUGGGGAUGCUAGAGAGACAGCAAUUCCAUGAUUGGAAUUUACAAAAAAGAAAAUGGGGGAAUGAAGGAACCGGCUUCCCUUUUGGCAGCCAUAACAGCCGAACACGUGCUUGCCAUAAACCUGCCUUGGUCACUUAGAGGUCAGAUGCCUGUCUUGUGACAAGGAACCAAUCAGAAGUUAGCUGGUGGCGCUAUGCUUUACGACCCUGGGUGUGCUUUACGGACAAGCGCACGACAAUGACGUAGAGAGCAUAGCAACCACCCUGGGAGGGCCUAUGAGCCAUAACAACCAGUUGACCAAUCAACACAGGGCAAGCCCUCCAAGCCUGGAGGCACACCAAUCGUGAGCCUGUGCGUACCCCUAGACACUCCCCUU